rnacentral:rRNA from 1 species
CAGCCGCCGCGGGAAUACGAAGGGGGCUAGCGUUGCUCGGAAUGACUGGGCGUAAAGGGCGCGUAGGCGGCUGUUACAGUCAGACGUGAAAUUCCUGGGCUCAACCUGGGGGCUGCGUUUGAUACGUGAUGGCUUGAGUUCGGAAGAGGGUCGUGGAAUUCCCAGUGUAGAGGUGAAAUUCGUAGAUAUUGGGAAGAACACCGGUGGCGAAGGCGGCGACCUGGUCCGAUACUGACGCUGAGGCGCGAAAGCGUGGGGAGCAAACAGGAUUAGAUACCCCUGUAGUCCCUGUCUCUUAUAC